UACGUAGGGUGCAAGCGUUGUCCAGAAUUAUUGGGCGUAAAGAGCUCGUAGGCGGUUUGUCGCGUCUGCUGUGAAAACCCGAGGCUCAACCUCGGGCCUGCAGUGGGUACGGGCAGACUAGAGUGCGGUAGGGGAGAUUGGAAUUCCUGGUGUAGCGGUGAAAUGCGCAGAUAUCAGGAGGAACACCGGUGGCGAAGGCGGGUCUCUGGGCCGAUACUGACGCUGAGGAGCGAAAGCGUGGGGAGCGAACAGG
rnacentral:rRNA from 1 species